rnacentral:lncRNA from 1 species
UUAAACAAUUAAAAAUAUUCACAAAAUCAAUUAAAUCAUGAAAAAUAUUAAUAAUGAUCCAAAAAAUAAUUUUAAUUCAGAAAGUGAAAGAGGAUUUUAUUUUAAAAAAAUUGGUGAAACUCUUAUAUUUUUUGGAUCAAUAUUAUAUUUAAUAUGAAUUAAUGAAAAUAAAACAAAUAAAAUGAAAAUCAAUUAAUCUGAAGAAAA